UACGGAGGGUGCAAGCGUUAUCCGGAUUCACUGGGUUUAAAGGGUGCGUAGGUGGGCAUGUAAGUCAGUGGUGAAAUCUCCGUGCUUAACAUGGAAACUGCCAUUGAUACUAUGUUUCUUGAAUUUUCCGGAGGUAAGCGGAAUAUGUCAUGUAGCGGUGAAAUGCUUAGAUAUGACAUAGAACACCAAGUGCGAAGGCAGCUUACUACAGGGAUAUUGACACUGAGGCACGAAAGCGUGGGGAUCAAACAGG
rnacentral:rRNA from 1 species